GCUGCAUGGCUGUCGUCAGCUCGUGUUGUGAAAUGUUGGGUUAAGUCCCGCAACGAGCGCAACCCUUAUCCUUUGUUGCCAGCGGUCCGGCCGGGAACUCAAAGGAGACUGCCAGUGAUAAACUGGAGGAAGGUGGGGAUGACGUCAAGUCAUCAUGGCCCUUACGACCAGGGCUACACACGUGCUACAAUGGCGCAUACAAAGAGAAGCGACCUCGCGAGAGCAAGCGGACCUCAUAAAGUGCGUCGUAGUCCGGAUUGGAGUCUGCAACUCGACUCCAUGAAGUCGGAAUCGCUAGUAAUCGUGGAUCAGAAUGCCACGGUGAAUACGUUCCCGGGCCUUGUACACACCGCCCGUCACACCAUGGGAGUGGGUUGCAAAAGAAGUAGGUAGCUUAACCUUCGGGAGGGCGCUUACCACUUUGUGAUUCAUGACUGGGGUGAAGUCGUAACAAGGUAACCGUAGGGGAACCUGC
rnacentral:rRNA from 2 species